rnacentral:rRNA from 1 species
UGAGGAAUUUUCUGCAAUGGGCGAAAGCCUGACAGAGCAAUACCGCGUGAGGGAUGAAGACUUACUGAGUUGAAAACCUCGGUACCUUAAGGAAGAAGAUCUGACGGUACUUAAGGUGGAAAGCAUCGGCUAACUCCGUGCCAGCAGCCGCGGUAAGACGGGGGAUGCAAGUGUUAUCCGGAUUUACUGGGCGUAAAGAGACUGCAGGUGGUUUCUUAAGUCUACGGUUAAAUCUUGCGGCUCAACCUC